CUGUCACCACCACCGCAGUGUCACCAUCACCACUGUCCCCCCGUCACCAUCACCACUGUCACCACCACCGCAGUGUCACCGUCCCCACUGUGUCACCGUCACCGCCACCCCCAUUGUGUCACCGUCACCACUGUCCCCCUGUCACCGUCACCACAGCGUCACUGUCACCACCGCUGUGUCACCAUCCCCCGUGUCACCGUCACCACCGUGUCACUGUCACCACCACCGUGUGGCCACCCCCAUUGUGUCACUGUCACCGCUGUCCCCCCGUCCCCACCGCAUUGUCACUGUCACCACCCCCAGCCAGUGUCACCGCCACCAGUGUCACCAUCACCACUGUCACAGUGUCACUGUCACCACCCCCACUGUGUCACCGUGAACCACCACAGCGUCCCUGUCACCACCGUCCCCCUGGCCCCACCACCACCGUGUCACUGUCACCGCAGUGUCACUGUCACCGCAACCACUGCGUCACCGUCCCCACUGUGUCACCGUCACCACCCCCGUGCCACUGUCCCCAUUGCCUCCCAGUCCCCACCACCGCCGUGUCACCGCCACCACCGCCGUGUCACCGCCACCACCGCCGUGUCACCGUCCCCACUGUCCCCACCACUGUUGUGUCACCGUCACCGCUGUCCCCCUGUCACCAUCACCACAGCGUCACUGUCACCACCGCUGUGUCACCGUCCCCCCUGUGUCACCAUCACCGCCACCGUGUGACCACUCCCGUUGUGUCACCGUCACUACUGUCCCCCUGUCCCCACCACCACCGUGUCACUGUCACCACCGCUGUGACCACCCCCAUUGUGUCACUGUCACCGCUGUCCCCCUGUCACCAUCACCACAGCGUCACUGUCACCACCGCUGUGUCACCAUCCCCCCUGUGUCACCAUCACCGCCACCACCGUGUGGCCACCCCCAUCGUGUCACUGUCACCGCUGUCCCCCUGUCACCAUCACCACAGCGUCACCGUCACCACCGCUGUGUCACCAUCCCCCCUGUGUCACCAUCACCGCCACCACCGUGUGGCCACCCCCAUUGCGUCACUGUCACCGCUGUCCCAGUCACCAUCACCACAGCGUCACUGUCACCACCGCUGUGUCACCAUCCCCACUGUGUCACCGUCACCGCCACCGCCGUGUCACUGUCCCCACUGUCCCCCUGUCCCCCCCGCCACACAGUCACCGCCACCACCCCCACCGCUGUCCUCAUUGUCCCCAUCCUCGCUGUGUCACCGUCACCGCGUCACCACCCCCGCAGCGUCACUGUCCCCAUCACCAUCACCACCACGGCGUCACCGUCACCGUGUCACCAUCACCACCACGGCGUCACUGUCCCCAGUGUGUCACCGUCCCCACCGUCUCACUGUCACCAUCACCACCACGAUGUCACUGUCCCCAUUGUGUCACGGUCUGCACCACCGCAGCGUCACCGUCACCAUCACCACCACUGUGUCACCAUCACCGUGUCACCAUCACCAGCGCAGUGUCACUGUCCCCCGUGUGUCACGGUCCCCACCAUCUCGGGGUCACCAUCACCACCGCAGUGUCGCCGUCACCAUCCCCAUGUCACUGUCAGCACCACAGUGUCACUGUCCCCAGUGUGUCACCGUCACCACCACCACUGUGUCACCAUCACCAACACAGUGUCACUGUCACCGUCCCCAUGUCACCUCAGCGUCACCAUCACCACCGUGUCACCAUCACCACCACUGUGUCACCAUCACCACCGCAGUGUCACCGUCACUGUCCCCAGUGUGUCACCGUCCCCACCACCUCCGUGUCACCAUCACCACCACAGCGUCACCGUCACCAUCACCACCACUGUGUCACCAUCACCGUGUCACCAUCACCACCGCAGUGUCACUGUCCCCAGUGUGUCACCGUCACCACCACCUCAGCGUCACCGUCCCCAUGUCACUGUCAGCACCACAGUGUCACUAUCCCCAGUGUGUCACUGUCACCACCUCAGCGUCACCAUCUCCACCUCAGCGUCACCAUCACCAUCACCACCGCAGCGUCACCGUCACCAUCCCCUGUCACCGUCACCAUCACCACUGUGUCACCAUCCCCACCACCUUUA
ensembl:lncRNA